rnacentral:rRNA from 1 species
CCUACGGGUGGCAGCAGUGGGGAAUAUUGCACAAUGGGGGAAACCCUGAUGCAGCGACGCCGCGUGAGUGAAGAAGUAAUUCGUUAUGUAAAGCUCUAUCAGCAGGGAAGAAAAUGACGGUACCUGAGUAAGAAGCCCCGGCUAACUACGUGCCAGCAGCCGCGGUAAUAAGUAGGGGGCAAGCGUUAUCCGGAUUUACUGGGUGUAAAGGGAGCGUAGAAGGCAGUGCAAGUCUGGAGUGAAAGGCGGGGGGUGAACCCCCGGACUGCGCGGGAAACGGUACGGCGGGAGUGCAGUGUAGGGAAGGGGAAUACGUAGGGUAGCGGUGAAAUGCGUAGAUAUUAGGAGGACCACCAGUGGCGAAGGCGGCUUACUGGACUGUAACUGACGUUGAGGCUCGAAAGCGUGGUGAGCAAACAGGAUUAGAUACCCGUGUAGUC